rnacentral:rRNA from 1 species
AGAGUUUGAUCAUGGCUCAGGAUGAACGCCGGCGGUGUGCCUAAUACAUGCAAGUCGAACGCGUUGGCCCAACUGAUUGAACGUGCUUGCACGGACUUGACGUUGGUUUACCAGCGAGUGGCGGACGGGUGAGUAACACGUAGGUAACCUGCCCCAAAGCGGGGGAUAACAUUUGGAAACAGAUGCUAAUACCGCAUAACAAUUUGAAUCGCAUGAUUCAAAUUUAAAAGAUGGUUUCGGCUAUCACUUUGGGAUGGACCUGCGGCGCAUUAGCUUGUUGGUAGGGUAACGGCCUACCAAGGCCGUGAUGCGUAGCCGAGUCGAGAGACUGAUCGGCCACAAUGGAACUGAGACACGGUCCAUACUCCUACGGGAGGCAGCAGUAGGGAAUCUUCCACAAUGGGCGCAAGCCUGAUGGAGCAACACCGCGUGAGUGAAGAAGGGUUUCGGCUCGUAAAGCUCUGUUGUUAGAGAAGAACGUGCGUGAGAGCAACUGUUCACGCAGUGACGGUAUCUAACCAGAAAGUCACGGCUAACUACGUGCCAGCAGCCGCGGUAAUACGUAGGUGGCAAGCGUUAUCCGGAUUUAUUGGGCGUAAGGCGAGCGCAGGCGGUUUGAUAAGUCUGAUGUGAAAGCCUUUGGCUUAACCAAAGAAGUGCAUCGGAAACUGUCAGACUUGAGUGCAGAAGAGGACAGUGGAACUCCAUGUGUAGCGGUGGAAUGCGUAGAUAUAUGGAAGAACACCAGUGGCGAAGGCGGCUGUCUGGUCUGCAACUGACGCUGAGGCUCGAAAGCAUGGGUAGCGAACAGGAUUAGAUACCCUGGUAGUCCAUGCCGUAAACGAUGAGUGCUAGGUGUUGGAGGGUUUCCGCCCUUCAGUGCCGCAGCU